rnacentral:rRNA from 1 species
AUUGAACGCUGGCGGCAGGCCUAACACAUGCAAGUCGAACGCGUGGCGGGGGGGAGAGUAAUGUAUGAGAAACUGCCUGAUAGAGGGGGAUAAAUACUGGAACAGGUGGCUAAUACCGUAUACUCUCAGAUGCACACAUAUGGGAUUAGAUAGUUGGUGGGGUAAAGGCUCACCAAGGAGACGAUCCCUAGCUGGUCUGAGAGUAUGACCAGCCACACUGGAACUGAGACACGGUCCAGACUCCUACGGGAGGCAGCAGUGGGGAAUAUUGCACAAUGGGCGCAAGCCUGAUGCAGCCAUGCCGCGUGUAUGAAGAAGGCCUUCGGGUUGUAAAGUACUUUCAGCGGGGAGGCGUUACCCGCAGAAGAAGCACCGGCUAACUCCGUGCCAGCAGCCGCGGUAAUUC